AUUGAACGCUAGCGGCAGGCCUAACACAUGCAAGUCGAGCGGGGUUUUCGGACCUAGCGGCGGACGGGUGAGUAAUGCGUAGGAAGCUACCCGAUAGAGGGGGAUACCAGUUGGAAACGACUGUUAAUACCGCAUAAUGUCUACGGACCAAAGUGUGGGACCUUCGGGCCACAUGCUAUCGGAUGCGCCUACGUGGGAUUAGCUAGUUGGUGGGGUAAUGGCUCACCAAGGCGACGAUCUCUAGCUGGUUUGAGAGGAUGAUCAGCCACACUGGAACUGAGACACGGUCCAGACUCCUACGGGAGGCAGCAGUGGGGAAUAUUGGACAAUGGGCGCAAGCCUGAUCCAGCCAUGCCGCGUGUGUGAAGAAGGCCUUCGGGUUGUAAAGCACUUUCAGUAGGGAGGAAGGAUGUUGUGUUAAUAGCACAGCAUUUUGACGUUACCUACAGAAGAAGCACCGGCUAACUCUGUGCCAGCCGCCGCGGUAAUAC
rnacentral:rRNA from 1 species